rnacentral:tRNA from 1 species
GCCUGGUUGGCUCAGUUGGUAGAGCAUGUGACUCUUGAUCUUGGGGUCAUGAGUUUGAGCCCCACACUGGGUA